rnacentral:rRNA from 1 species
AUUGAACGCUGGCGGCAGGCCUAACACAUGCAAGUCGAACGGUAACAGGAAACAGCUUGCUGUUUCGCUGACGAGUGGCGGACGGGUGAGUAAUGUCUGGGAAACUGCCUGAUGGAGGGGGAUAACUACUGGAAACGGUAGCUAAUACCGCAUAACGUCGCAAGACCAAAGAGGGGGACCCUCGGGCCUCUUGCCAUCGAAUGUGCCCAGAUGGGAUUAGCUUGUUGGUGGGGUAACGGCUCACCAAGGCGACGAUCCCUAGCUGGUCUGAGAGGAUGACCAGCCACACUGGAACUGAGACACGGUCCAGACUCCUACGGGAGGCAGCAGUGGGGAAUAUUGCACAAUGGGCGCAAGCCUGAUGCAGCCAUGCCGCGUGUAUGAAGAAGGCCUUCGGGUUGUAAAGUACUUUCAGCGGGGAGGAAGGGAGUAAAGUUAAUACCUUUGCUCAUUGACGUUACCCGCAGAAGAAGCACCGGCUAACUCCGUGCCAGCAGCCGCGGUAAUACGGAGGGUGCAAGCGUUAAUCGGAAUUACUGGGCGUAAAGCGCACGCAGGCGGUUUGUUAAGUCAGAUGUGAAAUCCCCGGGCUCAACCUGGGAACUGCAUCUGAUACUGGCAAGCUUGAGUCUCGUAGAGGGGGGUAGAAUUCCAGGUGUAGCGGUGAAAUGCGUAGAGAUCUGGAGGAAUACCGGUGGCGAAGGCGGCCCCCUGGACGAAGACUGACGCUCAGGUGCGAAAGCGUGGGGAGCAAACAGGAUUAGAUACCCUGGUAGUCCACGCCGUAAACGAUGUCGACUUGGAGGUUGUGCCCUUGAGGCGUGGCUUCCGGAGCUAACGCGUUAAGUCGACCGCCUGGGGAGUACGGCCGCAAGGUUAAAACUCAAAUGAAUUGACGGGGGCCCGCACAAGCGGUGGAGCAUGUGGUUUAAUUCGAUGCAACGCGAAGAACCUUACCUGGUCUUGACAUCCACGGAAGUUUUCAGAGAUGAGAAUGUGCCUUCGGGAACCGUGAGACAGGUGCUGCAUGGCUGUCGUCAGCUCGUGUUGUGAAAUGUUGGGUUAAGUCCCGCAACGAGCGCAACCCUUAUCCUUUGUUGCCAGCGGUCCGGCCGGGAACUCAAAGGAGACUGCCAGUGAUAAACUGGAGGAAGGUGGGGAUGACGUCAAGUCAUCAUGGCCCUUACGACCAGGGCUACACACGUGCUACAAUGGCGCAUACAAAGAGAAGCGACCUCGCGAGAGCAAGCGGACCUCAUAAAGUGCGUCGUAGUCCGGAUUGGAGUCUGCAACUCGACUCCAUGAAGUCGGAAUCGCUAGUAAUCGUGGAUCAGAAUGCCACGGUGAAUACGUUCCCGGGCCUUGUACACACCGC